AACGAACGCUGGCGGCGUGCUUAACACAUGCAAGUCGAACGGUGACCCUCUUCGUAGGGGCUCAGUGGCGAACGGGUGAGUAACACGUGGGCAACCUGCCCGCAUCUCUGGGAUAAAUCCAAGAAAUUGGGGCUAAUACCGUAUGUUCACCGCUUCCCGCAUGGGUGGUUGUGCAAAGGUUUUGCGGCUGGGUAUGGACCCGGGGCCUAUACGCUUGCUGCUGGGGUAAGGGCCUCCCAAGGCAACGUCGGGUAGCCAGCCUGAGAGGGUGACCGGCAACAGUGGGACUGAGACAGGGCCACGACUCCUACGGGAGGCAGCAGUGGGGAAUAGUGAGCAAUGGGCGGAAGCCUGAGGCAGCGACCCCGCGGGGGGGAUGACGGCCUUGGGGUUGGGAACGUCUUGCAGCAGGGACGGAGCGGAAAUGACGGUAACUGGAGAAGAAGCACCGGCCAACUACGUG
rnacentral:rRNA from 1 species